UACGUAGGGGGCGAGCGUUGUCCGGAUUUAUUGGGCGUAAAGAGCUCGUAGGCGGUUCGGCAAGUCAGAUGUAAAAACUCCAGGCUCAACUUGGAGAGGCCAUCUGAUACUGCCGUGACUAGAGUCCGGUAGAGGAGCACGGAAUUCCUGGUGUAGCGGUGAAAUGCGCAGAUAUCAGGAGGAACACCAGCGGCGAAGGCGGCUCUCUGGGACGGUACUGACGCUGAGACGCGAAAGCGUGGGGAGCGAACAGG
rnacentral:rRNA from 1 species